rnacentral:rRNA from 1 species
AUACGGAGGGUGCAAGCGUUACUCGGAAUCACUGGGCGUAAAGGAUGCGUAGGCUGUAUGUCAAGUUGGAAGUGAAAUCCUAUGGCUUAACCAUAGAACUGCUUCCAAAACUGGCAACCUAGAGUGAGGGAGAGGCAGAUGGAAUUAGUGGUGUAGGGGUAAAAUCCGUAGAUAUCACUAGGAAUACCGAUUGCGAAGGCGAUCUGCUAGAACUCUACUGACGCUAAGGCAUGAAAGCGUGGGGAGCAAACAGGAUUAGAUACCCCAGUAGUCC